GAUGAAGAACGUAUCGAAAUGCGAUAAGUAGUGUGAAUUGCAGAAUUCAGUGAAUCAUCGAAUCUUUGAACGCACAUUGCGCCCCUUGGUAUCCCGAGGGGCAUGCCUGUUCGAGCGUCAUUUCACCACUCAAGCCUGGCUUGGUGUUGGGCGACGUCCUCUUUGGGGACGCGCCUCGAAACGCUCGGCGGCGUGGCACCGGCUUUAAGCGUAGCAGAAUCUUUCGCUUUGGAAGUCGGGGCCCCGUCUGCCGGAAGACCUGCUCGCAAGGUUGACCUCGGAUCAGGCAGGGAUACCCGCUGAACUUAAGCAUAUCAAUAAGCGGAGGA
rnacentral:misc_RNA from 1 species